rnacentral:RNase_P_RNA from 1 species
UGGGGUAGGUGAGGUGGUUGCUCCUUCUUCGCCUCAAGGCCCAGAAGGGGAGGAAAGUCCGAACUCCGAAGGGCAGGAUGGUCGCUAACAGCGACUCCGAGCGAUCGGAGGAAAGUGCCACAGAAAACAAACCGCCCUGUAGGAUUGGUGUCCACCUUCUUUCAGAGUAAGGGUGAAAAGGUGAGGUAAGAGCUCACCGUUCUGAUGGUGACAUCAGGAGCACGGUAAACCCCAUCCGGAGCAAGACCGAAUUGGCCCCGGUUGAAACGGCCCGUUUCGAGGGGCGGGUAGGUUGCUCAGACAAAUAACCGCCCUCGCUUCUGGCGGGAACAGAAUUCGGCUUACGUCCUGCCCCAGCCA